AUUGAACGCUGGCGGCAAGCCUAACACAUGCAAGUCGAACGAGUGGCGGACGGGUGAGUAAUGUCUGGGAAACUGCCUGAUGGAGGGGGAUAACUACUGGAAACGGUAGCUAAUACCGCAUACCAUGGGAUCUGGCCAGGUGGGAUGAGCUAGUGGGGGUGGUAAAGGCUCACCUAGGCGCCGAUCCCUAGCUGGUCUGUGAGGAUGACCAGCCACACUGGAACUGGGAAACGGUCCAGGAUCCGACGGGAGGGAGCAGUGGGGAAUAUUGCACAAUGGGAGCAAGCCUGAUGCAGCCAUGCCGCGUGUAUGAAGAAGGCCUUCGGGUUGUAAAGUCCUUUCAGUGGGGAGGCGUUACCCGAAGAAGAAGCCCCGGCUAACUCCGUGCCAGGAGCCGCGGUAAUAC
rnacentral:rRNA from 1 species